rnacentral:lncRNA from 1 species
UUGAUGUUUCAUGGUUUAGGGUUUAGAGUUGAUGAUUUAAGGUUUAAAGUUGAUGUUUUAAGUUUAGAUUUAGGGUUUAGGGUUUACGUUUAGGGUUUAGAGUUGAUGUUUUAGGGUUUAGAUUUGAAGUUUUAGGGUUUAGGGUUUAGAGUUGAUGUUUCGGAGUUUAGGGUUUAGAGUUGAUGAUUUAGAGUUUAGAGUUGAUGUUUUAAGUUUAGAUUAGUUAACCGUAUGUUUUUUUUUGUCAAAGGUAAUCAAAAGGUUAUAAAUGUCUUUUACCCUUCAUUAAAGAUGAGGGUAAAAGUGGUUAGUAUAAACAUGAAAAGUGGUACUUU